rnacentral:rRNA from 1 species
GCAUAUCAAUAAGCGGAGGAAAAGAAACCAACAGGGAUUGCCCUAGUAACGGCGAGUGAAGCGGCAACAGCUCAAAUUUGAAAUCUGGCCUCGGCCCGAGUUGUAAUUUGCAGAGGAAGCUUUAGGCGCGGCACCACCUGAGUCCCCUGGAACGGGGCGCCACAGAGGGUGAGAGCCCCGUAUAGUUGGACGCCUAGCCUGUGUAAAGCUCCUUCGACGAGUCGAGUAGUUUGGGAAUGCUGCUCAAAAUGGGAGGUAAAUUUCUUCUAAAGCUAAAUACCGGCCAGAGACCGAUAGCGCACAAGUAGAGUGAUCGAAAGAUGAAAAGCACUUUGAAAAGAGGGUUAAAUAGCACGUGAAAUUGUUGAAAGGGAAGCGCUUGUGACCAGACUUGCGCCGGGCUGAUCAUCCGGUGUUCUCACCGGUGCACUCUGCCCGGCUCAGGCCAGCAUCGGUUCUCGCGGGGGGAUAAAGGCACCGGGAACGUAGCUCCUCCGGGAGUGUUAUAGCCCGGGGCGUAAUGCCCUCGCGGGGACCGAGGACCGCGCUCUGCAAGGAUG